rnacentral:lncRNA from 1 species
CCCAGCCUGCCCUGCGGCGCAGGGAGGAGCACCGCGUGCCGCUAGCCUGGUUCCUGCUUUUGGAGGUUUGGCGACAAAGUGACAGCUGGCCGGUUUGGCUCCUCCCCUCACUCCUGGCGUUCUGGCUCUCCCUGUUUUUCCUCUCCUAGGAACCACCUCCUCCUCACGGCAGCAGCGAGAGGUCCUGUGUUAUCUUAAAUUUGGGAUGCGUAUAUCAUCAGAUACACCUUUUUCAGUGGACAUAAUUUUUUGAAGAAAUGUGAAGAUUACCAUAUGAAAUUUUACAUAGAGUCAGGGUUCACACUAGGAGAAGGAGCCUAUUGAUGGUCAGCGUAGCACCAGAGUUUUUCAAGAAGAUGUGGACAUUAUUUCAACCUACAAAACAAAAGAGGAUGUUUAUAAGAAAGAAGGAGAAAGAUAACAAGGCA